AACUGCUUAUCUCUUGGCCAUUUUGGGUCUCUCUCGGUUGAUUUGAGUCUUGAACGUUUCAAAGAACAACACAUUGUUGAAUGAUUUUACUGCUAUUUUUAGAGGGAACCAGACAGAGUGGUCAAGGAGUCAAAGCUAAUUUGGUUAUUGGCAAAUUUAAAUUUUAAGGUUAAUAUUUUGAUUGGUCUUAAAGCAUUGGAUCAGUAGCUAAUUGCAAGAGGUAUGUUGUAUUUGAUUUUUUUUUUUAAUUUUCAAUAUUUUACAAUUUUGAAUGAUAAUUAUAUUACUUUAGUGGAGUUUGAAUAUCUUAGAUAUUCUUCCGUAGUGAAGUAGGUUCCGAGAACUCUGUGUGCUGCAGUGAUAACGGAAGAUUGAGAACUUGCAUGUCUUAGUGAAGUAGGUUCUGAGAAUUUUGUGUGCUGCGGUGAUAUAUGGAUGAAAACCUGUGUGCUGUUUGAUUUGUUUGACAUGUUGAUGUUGAAUGUGACAGAUGGCUAGACUAGUAAAUUAGGGGAUAUGUUGUCCGAUUUUCUAUAGAUGGUGACAUGUUGGCUUUUUUCUCUUUUUCUUCUAUUUUCAGUGCAAGAUGUGUAAUUUACUAUGUUUUAAUUUUCAUGUAAUAUGUUUUUUUUUGUAACAUAUUUUUUUGUUAAAUUUUCAUGUAGUAUAUUUAUGUUAAUUGAUAUUGUGCUUUGCCCAAUCAGAUUAUGUUGUGUGAUUAUAUCAUUAUAGCAAUUUAUGGAUGCUCUACAAUUUUCUUGCAUUGCACAUGUUUGAUGAAAGUCCUAAGUUUUAUCCUAUAAUCUUAAUAUUAGGGUCCAAAAUCUAAAGGUUUGAGACACCUUUAAGCAUGUUUUAUAUAGUCAAUCGAAAUGUUAUAUAUUACAUAUAAUUAAGGCCACCUUUCUACUUGGCAGACAUUUAUAUAAACAUUACUUGAAUAUAAAAUACACUAUGUAACCACCAUCAUUUGUGUGGGGUCCAAUGUUGUAGAAACUGAUAUUCUAACAUGUUUGCCCAUCUUUUUCUUCCUCUUGUGCUUAAGAUGUUUCGUCCAAAUUACUUAAAAGUUAUUUUUGCAUCAUGCAAUUUACAAGUAACAGUUAUUUCUAGUGGUCAACAUUUUAAGAACUUUUUAUUUCCAGUGGAGAAAUUUUUUAUUAAUUUUUAGUUUUUUGUUCUCUUUUGCUUUGGUGAUCAUUAUUCCUUAAGUUCUUACCACUGUUCUCUGAUUAAUUCUUUGAUGAAAAUUAUUUCUUUAUGAAGCUAGGUAGUUGACAGAAUGUAAUAUUUGGUUUUGGAGCAAGAAAAGCAAUAUCCAUCUGGAGUAAGAUGACAACUUUCAAAUGCACAUGUAUGUUUGUUUUGCUAUGUAGCUUGGUAAAUGUGUGUGUUGCAUUUCUAUAGAUUAUCUCUUGUAUAAUAAUAUUUAUUCUCCUAUAAAUGUUUAGUAUAAUCGUCUCCCCGCUUUUGUUUAGGAUUCUUUCUCUGAAAUCUGUCUUGUUUUGUCGCUCUAUAUAGAAAAUAGCUUAGUGUGGCAAAAGUUAGAAUUUGUCUUUGGUAAGGACUUUCAACACUAGGUUUUAUGAAAUUGCAGUAUUUUUGUUUUCUAGAGAUGUGACAAUCAAAGUUCUUUGGGAUUUAAAUGUUGGUUUGAAAUUAUUUCUUCAUAG